UGGGGAAUAUUGCACAAUGGGCGGAAGCCUGAUGCAGCGACGCCGCGUGGGGGAUGAAGGCCUUCGGGUUGUAAACUCCUUUCGACAGGGACGAAGCUUUUGUGACGGUACCUGUAUAAGAAGCACCGGCUAACUACGUGCCAGCAGCCGCGGUAAUACGUAGGGUGCGAGCGUUGUCCGGAAUUACUGGGCGUAAAGAGCUCGUAGGUGGUUUGUCGCGUCGUCUGUGAAAUUCCGGGGCUUAACUCCGGGCGUGCAGGCGAUACGGGCUGACUUGAGUGCUGUAGGGGAGACUGGAAUUCCUGGUGUAGCGGUGAAAUGCGCAGAUAUCAGGAGGAACACCGAUGGCGAAGGCAGGUCUCUGGGCAGUAACUGACGCUGAGGAGCGAAAGCAUGGGUAGCGAACAGGA
rnacentral:rRNA from 1 species